GGGCUACAGGGUGGAUCGGGUGACCGGCACAAGCAGCUGGAACUGGCUGGAGACAGUGGCCCCGCAUGAGCAGAAAGAGAGCAAGGGUUGGGCAGGAGCACUUUAAAGGGCUGGCUGUUCCCUCCAUCGCCCCAAGACUGACCUCAGGGGUCAGGAGGCCUCUGGCCACGGUUCUAUGCCACAGGUGCUGUGGCACUUCGACUGUGGAAUUUUGUUACAUACGUUGGACGUCAUCCAAUCAGAGCUGCUCCACUGCCCUACGAAUAGGUUAAAAAUACCAAGGCUACCACCACCAACCACAUCAGUAGUUCCAGCAACUAUUUCAAGUGAGCCAAGCACUCAUGAAGGCCGACCAGCUUCGUGGCAGUCCUCAUAGGCUGGGGACUGCCCAUCCUACUCUGGAAACAGCAGCUCAGGCCCCUACUUGGCUCUGCACUUCCUGCUAAGGGUCUUGGGCCUCAUACUGCAGCUGCCCAUGGGUGUGGACAUGGGGAGAGUUCUAGGGAAAGGACUCAAUUUCUCUUUCCUCACUCAGCUGUUUCCCAAGAAAUAAGAAACUGCUGGGACCCAGCCAAGAACAGCUCCAAGCAGUGGGGGAUGCCUACCUCACUGGGUACCUCCAGUUAGUGUUCAGGAUACCUGGGAGGUCCUUCUUGCCUCCCCCUUGCCCUCCAAGCAUGGCUGGGAAUUUCCCACCAGCCAAAGAAAGGCUGAAUUGAGAAGCCGCCCCCACCAGUCUUGGGACAAUGGAGCCUUAUGCCCUCCAAAUCAGAGCCGCAGUAGAAGGGCCAAAGGCAGGUGGGGGCCUAACUGUCUGUACCAUGGUAAGCCCUGCUUGCCAGAACCACACCCAGACCCAGAGCCAAGUGAGAUCCCAGGGGAUACAGGACAGAGCCCUAGAUGGCCCACCCAGGCAGGGAGGCACCGGGUGCAUCAGGAAGACAAUGCCAGUCCCUCAAUGGCCCUCUGUGCGGGGGUUCCCCUCAGGACAGAAGGAAGGAACCAUCUCCGGUGCUUGCUUCCUGAUGGGCGGGUAUGGAGGCUCUGGAAAAGCUCCAGCCCGCCUGCGCACAUUGGGGUUCAGGCCUGAGCCUCUAAAGAAAGACAGGGAUUUGGGAAUGGCACAGGAUCCUGGUCUUGUCAGUUGUACCCUUUGGUAGAGGUAGCCGGAAUGGCCUGAGGAACUGGGGCGGGGGAGAGGCCUAAGGAAGCAGGCACUCCUUCCGACUCGCCGCCACAACCUUUCAUCUCCUGCCAGCAUCAGAGACUCGGUGGCCUGUGGCCACUGACAGGUGUAAGGAGGCGAAGUCCCAGGUCCCGGGUCCAAUCCCUCCUUCCCCCGCCUCCGCGGCGCCGACCCCCGCCCGCCCCAGGAUCCAGCCGCUUUGUCAGGCCGCGGGCGCGGGGCCUCCAGUGCCACACAAAGCUGCUUUUGUGUCAAGCGUUCGCCACGGGACCCGGUGACGUCAGUCUGCGUGACCAGCUCAGCAGCUGCGGAGAGGACGGGCUGUGGCGCCCCCUCGCGGCCGGCGAAAGAGGCCUCGGAGCCCCGCCCAGUUGGGGCCGGUCUUUCGCCUUGUCGUCCGGAUUGCAGACGUAGCCCGAGGCUGCCCCUGCAGUUCCUGGGAGAAAACCCAGGCAUUCAGCACUGCGCUCCGCCCAGCACUCAGCACUUCCCUAGGCUUUGUUUUCCUGCAUCAACCUUCCAAUGCAGCCAAUGACAGACCCCCAAGAACCCCGCCUUGACAGCCGGUCCCCACCCCUGAUCUGGCGACGUGGUUUUCUGGCCCUUUUUUUCCUUUACAAAAUGAUUAGCAUAUGUUAAUUACUGAUAAUAAUGAAUUUCAUUAUAACGUUUCGGGCAUGUAUAAAAUGCGUUCUUUUCCAACACCUAUUACUCUCUUGCACCUCCACUGACCUCCUUCCCUUCCCAACUAGCCUCUCCUCCACCUUGUUUGAUUUUUAAAUGACUUGAGCUGCUCCACAGGGUUGUUUCCAGGAAUAUGAAUACCUUACCAGGGCCUACAACACUGAAGAAAAUGUCUCUUCCUUCCUCGUCAACCAGUUAGGGGGACAGUUGUUGAACCACCACCUCAUUCCAUGACAGGAUGCUGACCAGCCCCAUCCAGCCUGGAAGAGUGUUUUACAACAUUCCACCUUUCUGUGGUUGUUAUAUUCUUUGUCCUGAUUUUCAAAGUUCCCUGAGUCUUGGAGGUGACUUGGUGUUUUGAGUCUCAAUAUAUAGCACAAGCUGGUCUGGAACUCUUGGUCAACCUCCUGCCUCAGCCUCCUGCAGGUUAGAAUUAAGAGCAUAAGCCACCACUCCUAACUUCUGAGUGUUGGUUAAGCCAAGGAGUGCAGCCUGAUUAUCUGUGUGACUUCAGCCCCUUUAAGCUGGGUUUCUGAGCCAGCAAGUCAAAAGUCAUUAUCUCUUACAUUAAAGACUGGCUAGAUACCUCUCCUACUCCGAACGUCAAGAACCCUCUAGAAGACCUCUCAAGGUUCCGAAGAUCUGAAGGCUGCCCCAGUCAGCAAACUGUAAAAUUAGGAACAGGAGGCUGCAUAGCCUCUAACAUGUACGCUGACCAAAGCUCAGAGAACUGACACAGACGGAACUCUGCCUAGAAAGUUUAAUGUCCAGGGUUUGAGCUACCUUCUUGCUCCGUCCCAAGGAGAAAGGAACACCCGGCAGUUCUUGUUUUCUUUCUACAUUUUAUUAUUUCAAAUCAUGUGAACAAUUCCAUAAAACAUGUGAAAAAAGCAAGGAAGUGUUCAACGCUGGAGGUCCCGGGCCUGGGGCGAGGGCGUGAGGGGCCUGACCCUCAGCAGGCAGCGGCGGUUCCUAGAUUAGCGCUAAGGAGCUACAUUUAGGUUAAUGGAGCCUGGGCCCAGGGCUUCAGGGCAGGGCCCUCAGUGACAUUGGCAGUUGUCUGGAACAGCCCUUGGAAUCCAAUUCCGUGGAGGGCAGGGCAGGGGGCCGCCCAAAGAGGGAUGGGUGUAAACAGGCAGAAACACUCAAGGCACGGAAUCACUGGAAAGGGGCUGGGGGGCGGGGGGAGGGAUGCUGGUCAGGACCUGACAGUUUUAAAUAGGUUUCUCUAAAAAGUUUUCUAGAUUUGCAGUUUUCCUUUUUUUUUCUCCUUUCCUUUUCCUUUUUUUUAAAGCUACGAGAAUGAGCAGGUGGGCUUUGUCUCCAGGAAUGGUGGUGUCUCUCACGCUUCUUGUGCUUUUUCCUUUGGGGCCUCCAAGCGGCAGAGAGUGGGGUAGGCAGGAGGCUCC